CUGGGAGAGUGUCUCGCUGGUGUGGUGGGGUGGGGUGUCUAUAGAUCUGUUGCUCCUGUGUGAAGUGUUGGGGCUGCGUUUGAGAGCGAUGUCCUUUACGGUCCGGGUGAAGGUGGGCACUGCCGCCUUGUCUAGGUGGACCUGGUCAUAAAGGCAGUCCAAGUUCAGGGUGGGCCAGGUAAAAAUGUGGUUUUGAGUCACAGUCACGGGAAAAACUUGCUUUUAUCUAUGGUAGCAGGGUGGAAGUAUUUUUGUGGUAGCAGGGUGGAUAUAACCACUUGUGAAUUAGGGAAAGUAGAAGAAGCUUUUUCAAUCACUCCCCUGAGUGCUGUGGCCACCCUUUCCUGCUGUGCUCUCAGGUCGUUUGUGCCUGUGUGUAUUAUUAUGUGGCUAGGUGAACCAAGUUGCUCCUCAGACAGAAGGUCUAGGGCGCGUUGGUUGUUUGGACACCAGGGUUUAGACACACUGUGUUUGGGAAAAAGUUGUUUUCUUGUAUAUACAGUAUUUCCCAUUUAAGUCCAUAAGGAGGACAAUCUAUGUCUUGUGUAUGACCUCAGUGGGUGUGGGGGAGUUGUCAGGAGGGCUAUCAGGGUGGCUGACACUGGGGGUGCUCAGAGGGGGUAAGAUCCCCUAGGCUUGGGGUUCUUCAUUUGUCUGUCCCGCUAUGAUGUCGACGUGAUCAGGGUCUGGGGUGGACUGUUCUGCUGUGGUGUCAAGACUUUUGUUGGGAGCUGAGGUUGGUUGUUCUGCCUGCUUCCCUGCGGGGUGGCCACCUCUCUAGUGGGUUGUUCUCUGUCACAUGACAUCCCCCUCACCCUCUCCUCCAGUAGUCUGAUCCUCUCCUCUAGUGCUCUGUUCUUCUCCUGCUCCUGCUUUUUCUCCUGUUGAUGUCUCAGAGUGCAGAUAUAUCUCUCUCCACCUCCAGCUCUCCAGGUCUGGUUAAGGGGGUGUUGUUGUGCUGGACUGUUGUCUGGGUCUGUGCUGACUGGAGUGUAAUCACCUGCUGUUGCAGCUCCACCUGCCUUACCUCCAGCUGGGUGAAUUUAUUCUAAAACAAAUGUGUAGUUUACUUGUAUUAUCUGCUUACCUUGUAGAAUCUGGUUGAUUCUCUGAGGUCUUUGCACAGCAAUCCUUAUUAAUGUUCACUACACAGGUCAUAUUGCCUUAUCAAGACCAUCGGAUCAGAGUGAUACUUUGGCAUGUACAGAGGUAUUGCUGUGAACCUGACUCUGGUCACUCCAGAGAAGGACAUCAAACUAGCUGCCAUUGACUGACUUAGACAACACCUGUCCAAGGAUGGUCAGAAGCUCACCCUGCUGAGGGAGAUGCUGAUCAUCAUCACCACUCCCAUGGAGAUGCUAAAGAUUCAGUUACAGGAUGCAGUGUGGAUAGGUGAGAGAUGGGUUGAAGAAGGAGAGAGGAGGUUGGAUGUUCCCCUGUUCCCAGUCACUGUUUCAUGACUAACCAAUGUCUUGUCAGCCAAACAAACACAAACAGAUCACAGGGAUCUGAUCAGUUAGAACCAGUAACAACCAGCAUUGUUAUUGUAUCAAUGUAAAAUUGUUAUUUUAUUGCUUGACCACAUUUGUGACUCUUCCUUGUUUUCCUGUGAUUCCCCAAAUGUAUUUUUGUUUUCCAACCUCCUGAGGCAUUCCUGCUUCUCUGUCCCUGGUUGAUGAUGUCACACUGAUGAUAAUGAUGAUGUUCUGUGUGUUAUGACACACGAAGAGGCUCAGAGGAAGCUGAUGUCCCAGGCUGUAGUUGGGCCCCUGGGGGCCCAGUGGAGUUGAGGUCCCAUACAGCAAUGCAGCUCACCCGGAAGCUGCUGUGGAGCCAGGGCAUCGCAGGGCUCUACAAGGGCCUGGGGGCCACACUCCUGAGCGAUUAAGACCAGAAUUCAGACCAUGACACAGAGAAGUCAGGAGGACACCUACAGCAGAGUGACAGACUGCAUCAGGAAGAUUCUGCGCCAAGAGUGUCCCUCUGCUUUCCAGAAGGGGGCGUACUGCCAUGCUCUGGUCAUUGCUCCCCUCUUUGGCAUCGCACAGGUGGUCUACUUCCUGGGGGUGGGAGAGUUCCUUCUCAGCUUCCUGCCUCAACGGAACAACUAGUCUUGCACUCUCAUACACAGCCCACAAUGGAGGCAGAUAAUCUGUCUCUUUCCUAUCACACACAGCCCACAUUGGCCAAAGCCGUAAGGAGUUAGUUAGAGUCAGACAGAACGGUGUGUGUGUUCUAGACCAGAGUUUGCCCUCUGCACCUGUUGAGGGUGUUCUGAUAGGUCAUCCUUUUUUAUAUCCCCUACUUGAGAUGAAUUACUGUAAAUAUUUAAAUUUAGGUCUGAUUUAUAACAACAAAAUAAUCAUUCAAUAUAAUUUCAAGUGUACUUUUAGUUGUGCCUUAUCAAGGUUAAGUCAUGGAAUUCUCUUUAUUGUUUUUACUAAGAUGUUGCUAUCAUGAUAUAUAAAUCUGUCAAAUAAUGUUAA